UGGGUGGUUGGCAUAGCGGCUGUGCAGCGGGCUUUUAAUCCGCCAUAGAGAGGUUCGACUCCUCUACCACCCAU
rnacentral:tRNA from 2 species